GACCAGACACCUACCUGGGCGUGGAUGCUCCGAAAAUCCCAGGCGCUGCUACCUCCAUUUUGAUCCGGGAGCCCGGGCUGAGCAGUAGCUGCUGCUCCCCCCAUGGGACCUGUGCUGGGGGGGGGUCCCCUCAUUAACCCCUCCCUGCCCAGCGUGGGGAGGGGGCUGAGUCCAGCUGGGACCAGCCCCCUGGGCUGCAGACUGCAGGAGACUUGGAUUGAGCUUCCUAGCUGAGAUGCUGUUGUUUCCUCCCCUGUUAUCUGGAAGCCCAAGUUGAGCUGCUGCUUCUCUCCCAGUGGGGUCUGUGCUGCAGAGUGACUUUAUAUAAAAUUUCUUCUGUGCUGAGCCAAGGGACCGGUGACCUUUGAGGAGGUGGCUGUGUAUUUUAC